rnacentral:rRNA from 1 species
GAUGAACGCUGGCGGCGUGCCUAAUACAUGCAAGUCGAGCGAACAGAUGAGGAGCUUGCUCCUCUGACGUUAGCGGCGGACGGGUGAGUAACACGUGGAUAACCUACCUAUAAGACUGGGAUAACUUCGGGAAACCGGAGCUAAUACCGGAUAAUAUAUUGAACCGCAUGGUUCAAUAGUGAAAGACGGUUUUGCUGUCACUUAUAGAUGGAUCCGCGCCGCAUUAGCUAGUUGGUAAGGUAACGGCUUACCAAGGCAACGAUGCGUAGCCGACCUGAGAGGGUGGUCAGCCACACUGGAACUGAGACACGGUCCAGACUCCUACGGGAGGCAGCAGAAGGGAAUCGUCCGCAAUGGGCGAAAGCCUGACGGAGCAACGCCGAGUGAGUGAUAAGAGUCUUCGGAUCGUAAAACUCUGUUAUUAGGGAAGAACAAUUGUGUAAGUAACUAUGCACGUCUUGACGGUACCUUAUCAGAAAGCCACGGCUAACUACGUG